UACGGCGCACUAACGCGCCCUCUUCCAUACAAAUCGGGAAACCUGGCCGCAGAAGGUUUCUCUUCUAAAUAUAUUUUCGGAAAAUUCGCAUUUUAUAUACCGUACCGCUGUAAUAAGCGGGUAUUUGUACGUCGACAAUUGUAUGUGUUCAACGGAUAUCAUUUACUGCGAUUAAGGCUCUCUAUGGCCUGUUAAGCUGACUACUAAAAAUAGAACAGUGCCCGAUACAUUCGUAGGAAAAUCUAGUGCGAGGUUUCCAUUCAUAAAAUCUAUCAUUUGGUGGUCGGUCGUGACGACACGUUAUAGGCGCAUAAUUAAAAUUUAUCGGUGAAUUCACAUCGUUGGCUGGAACGGAGUGACCAAUCAAUAACAGCGUCACCUUUGAAGGAGUUUUCGUCGAAAAAGUAUUGGAAAGAGGCAAAAUGGCGACCGAGGGCGGACUGGCGCCUGCCGCCGACGGCGACAUGCCCGUGGGCGGGCCCAAGACGCCCCAGCAGAUCGCGGCGCAGCGUCGCCUCCAGCAGACACAGGCGCAAGUUGACGAGGUGGUGGACAUCAUGAAAACAAACGUCGAAAAGGUGCUGGAGCGCGAUUCUAAGCUCUCAGAGCUUGAUGAUAGAGCAGACGCACUCCAGCAUGGCGCAUCACAGUUUGAGCAACAGGCCGGGAAGCUGAAAAGCAAAUUCUGGUUGCAGAAUUUAAAGAUGAUGAUAAUCGCAGCUGUGAUCGGAAUUGUCAUCCUGGCUCUGAUCAUAGGUAAGUUCCCUGCCAAUCCCGACUCUACGGCACAUCACUGUAUUAGACUAAUCUUAACUUUUCAACAUUUUCAGCCAACUGUGUGUGAACAACUUUGGAGCAGUUUCAUUUAGAAGUAACUUGUUAUAAUGUUUAUAGUAUAACGUUAUUUUAUUGCGUUAAAACUAAGCCUAGUUUGGUAAGUAGGCGUCUUGUCGUUGUUGAGUUGAUGAUACCUAAAUGUUGGCUUUAUCUGUGUGUCCUAUCGUAGAACAUGUUUCUGGCGUAUAAUGUGUAAUGUCAUUUCGAUAUCUUCUAUAUACAUGGUUAGUUUGCUAUUCAAAUUUAUAUUGUGGGUAGGUAAGUACAUAGGUCGUUUAGCGUUAAUACAAAGGGUCACACUUAAUUCAACGUCCAAGAAAACGGAAAUAUGUGAAAUAUGUGAAAAGGACAGCAGAAAAUAUAUAACUCACAUUUAUAGACGGUUAAUAUGUGUUCAAAACGCGAAAGUUUUAAAUAUUAUAAUAACAGAAAAUGCCAGAUAAUUCAAUUGUUUCCUUUAUAUUUAUUUUAACAGCUAACUUUGUUAUAUUUUAGAAGCAUUUUAUAAGGACACGGGAUGAAUUUGAAUAGUAAACAACGCGUGCUUUAUUUUGCGUACAUUUUAUUGUUGCCUCUGAUGCUGCUCUAUAUUUCGUAUACCUACAUUUAAAUAAAAAAAAACUUCUAAGAGAUAAUGUUUACUAAUAAAACCAAUUGCUUUAUUCUUCUCUCCAAGAAUGCAAUGCUUUUCCCAAGUUGUACCCCGACUAUUUGCUUUUGUGACAAUAAUCAUAUAUUACAAUACCUACAUAAAUUUGACACUUAGGAUUUAAGUGGUACCUAUGUACCUACAUCAAAUUGAGGAUAUAUUUUCACUGCGUAUCUUUGUGAAUACAUUAAAAAUCGAUAAUCUUGUACCUAUUGCAAAAGUUUCAUCGUAAGUUUUUUGAAUCAAUCAAAAUGCACCAAUUUUGACCGUCUAUCGUGAAACACGACAAUCUGUCUGUCUAUACGUUAUCAUUAUCAUUAUGGCGUGCGUUAGACGAGCGAUAAUCUAACUUGAACUCUUUUUCUAGGUCUGUAAACAUCGGGUACGGAUGACAGAUGGCUGAGAAACACUACUGAAUUCCAUUACCUACAGCCUAAUUUCACCAUUUUUUACGUGUCCUCGAGUUCAAUCGGCACCGCCUUCGAUGUACCCAAUAUCAAUAUACCCCACAUAAAACUAUUUAUUCUACUAGGCCCACCGUACACUCAGGUGCGGCGUUAACUUAGCUCCAGUCUCUAUUCGUACUCACGUGUCCUUAGUGUGCAGCGGGCCUAAAUCAAAAAGUUUAGAAAACUGUAUUUUCUUCACAUCACUAUCAACCGUCUUGACUUUAAGAAAAGUAUUUUUAGAUGAGUUUUCGUUAUUAAAAAUGUUUAUCUUAGAAUAACAACUGUAAUUUGCUAAACGCUAUACACAACCUAAAGCUUAUUGAAAACGACCAUAUCACCAAUUUCCAACAUUGAAUAUCUGAUUCAUGAGAUCGACCUAAGAGAAAUUUUAAAAUUUUUAGACUCUAAAUUUCUUUUAAUUCGGACCAAGUUUCUUAAUAAUCAUUAUUACCGAUUGUGUUUAUUUUUAUACGCCGGUGUUUUUGAAUUUAUAUUUUCAAUUUCGAAUAAUUUAACUGUUGCUCUUUGAUAAAACGUCUAUAUGAAUAUGUUUCUAUCUUGUAAGUAUGGAAUUUCGUAAACUUUUAAAAUGUUGAAUACAUGGAUAAUAUGGAUAUUGAUCUCACGUAGAAUAGUAGCAGCUGACUUUGUCGUUCUGGUCGACUUUCCUUUAAAAUUAAGUAACUACUAGACAGAAAAAUAGUACUUGAACAAAUAUUAUAUUACAUUUUAGAAUCAUUUUACUGCUUCUAUGUACGCAAAUAUAUUACUUUUGAAUUGGGUAACUUAAUGGAUGUGAAUAACGAUCGACUUAGAAUGGUUUGCUUGUUCGGUUAGUUUUAGUCAGUCUACAGGCAUUUUGUAGCUGUUUAAACUAAGUACCUAACAUAACAUAAUAUACUUAUUGGCGGUGAUUUCUAUUUGAAACGAAAAUUUAUAAUAUUCAUGUUGUUGUUUGUAAUAAAUAGAAUUAGACUAAAAAAAUAAUGUUCAUUCCUACGAUCUGUAGUAAUCGUGACUGGCCAAUAUUUUUUAAAUAAUUAUACAUAACCACAUGUUGUAACAGAUAUGUACCUUAUAUCUUUUUCUGUGUGUAUUGUAUGUAAAAACAGCUUUGUAGUUAGAAAGUGUAAAAAGUUUCACUAUAAUUAGGUGUUUUUAUUGUAACCACGCAUAGGCUAAAAGCGAGUUAAAGUUAAUGAACAUACAUGUUUAUCCGUUGGGGAAAUUGGCCAGUGUUGGAUUUAAACCAGUCAUUAGUAAAUUAAGUGGAGUUCCAGAAAAUGAAAUUUAUAAUAAGCCAUGUAUGGGUAACAAUGAAUUAGUUUUUAGAUUUAGACACUAUCGUGGCCGGGUAUAAGGCCUCAGUAUUGUGUCAAUCCCAGGACCGAUAUCGUUAUGGGGCCGGGGUUGGCCCAGUAUCGCGCAGUAUCUCUCUUAAUACCUACUUGUAUUAAAAUACGCAGGGUUUGUGCUGGUCUCAUUCUUCUGAGCCAUAAGAAUUGAGACGGGCAUAAACAGGCCAUAGAAAAAACUCUACAAGGAUAGAUAUGCAUAUGCACGUCGUGUCGAGUCGUUUUUUAGGUAUAGUAUACAUAGCCUACUGAAAUUGUUACAACUACUUACUGACCUACAUUUUCGAUUUUUUUUAAUAACAUCCAGUACCAGUUAUAUCCGUCAAAAUAAUAUACCUCCUAAGCAUUGAUUAACGAGUUAUCAAAAUUAAAAAAUCUGAACUUAAUUAAUAAUUGAUAGAUGGGUGUUCUUAAUAAUAAUUCGAAAAUGGAAGUUAUAAAAAUCACUGUAAGGUAAGGUAAAAAAUACACCAGAUACAUAUGUUAUAAAUAGAUUUAUACUUUAAAAUAAGAAUAUUCCAUUAGUGAAAAGGUCUGAACCGAAAACUGUUGACAUGUAUUUGUAGUAACAUACUGCAAUAAAUCAGAAAAUAAAGAUACCUCUUCACUGGUGUUGGGUAUUCCUACGUUAUUUGUGGUCAUAUCAUAUUAAGAUCCUAAAAUGCGAAAUCUAAACUUCUUUUGUGGAAAUACGAGACAUUAUGAGCAAGUUUUAGACUUGAUAACAACGGUUCAUCAUUGAUUAGGUAAGUACUUACACCUAUUUAUUUUUUUACUGCGAAUAUGACCACAAGUAAGUAAUUUAAUUGUGAAAAGACUCAAAACGCAUAGUGUAAAAUUAUGUAAAACCACUAAUCAUGAGAAUAGGUAUUAAUACCUACUUAGAACAUUUUGUUUCCAUCUCGUUAAUUUGUCAUUCCCCAUAAUAAAAUUCGCAGCAUACACGCGAUCGCAGUCCGUCUCCCUCACACUGAUGGUUGGUGCGAUAGAGAGGGAAUGCGAUAGAGUUCGCACUGUCGCUAACGUAAAUGACAAAUGCCAACUCGUGGUAGCCGUGCAGGUAUGGGUGUGAAAUUGUACUGAAAUAACAUGUAACGAAAUUUAAAUUUAUCUAAUUAUAUUAAAUGUUUCGAAUCGUGAAGGUUAAGAGGUUUGAGCAAACAGAAGGUUUCUUUCAUGAAAAGUGGAUUUAUAUUAAAUUUCAAUAUGUGAUGAGACUAGUUAAGACACUAAGUUAUUUAAAAAAAUGAUUAAAGGGUAAAAAAGCGUUACCUUUUAGAUAAGUAGGUACCUACUUACUUUAUACGUGUCUCACAUUAUUUAAUAUUCAAUUAUGAUGAUGAUUAUAUAGUCUGUUUUAAUGGGAAUGUCGUAAGAAUAUAUUACCUAAAAUUAUGUUUAUUCACUACUUAUGUUUAAUUACUUAAUUAUUAUGAGAUCGGUUUUAAAAUAAACAUAUUAGGUAUGCCUAAACUCCGUCUAAGCUAACUCUGCACCGACCUUACAACGAUAAAAUGGGGACGCGCCACUAUAACCGUCAUAUUUUCAUAGGAAUUUGACAUUUAUAGUGGCACUGUCACACUAUCGGUUGCAAAAUUGAUGCAAAAUUCGCUUUGACAGACAAUAGGUACCUAAUUUGCAAUUUGUCUUGAAUCGUUAAAAGUACAUAAGUUAAAAGUUAAAAGUGUCAUUUUAACGAAAUUUUAUUAAGGAAUAUAUAAUUACUUACAUCAUUUACCUUUCUUUUAUGAGAAUGUGUAAUUAAAACUUAUUUCAUAAAAAUGUAUUUAUAUGUUAACAAGUUAUAAUUAUAACUGUUAAACGUUAAAAAAUCAAACAUAAUCUUAACAGUUUAAUGAAACAUCAGGCAAAUAUUUGGUAAAUAUUUACAUAUAAAUUGUAAUUCGCCGUGUAUACAUAGCAUAAUAAGUUAUGUACCUAUGUAUUAUUAUUGCUUAAAUAAAUAAACCAACAUUAAUUAUGUUAGAAUAUUAUUA